CACCACGCCGGCGUGUGCACGUGCGUGCAGUUGUCGUCCAUCAAAGUGCUGCCCAUUUUUUGUUUUGACCCGCCUUCAUCUAUCCUUGAGUCGCGUGCGGAUAGCACGUGCGCGGUUGUCGAACGAAAAUGCGCAGCAUCUCAUCAUGCGCAUGCCGCUGCUACUAGCACGGCAACCAACCCGGCGCCUUGGCGCCACUCGGUGGCGCCCAGCAGCACAUCUGCGAUGCUCUUCGCCGCCGUUUUCGACGCCACAGUGUCUGCUCAGCACCUCUGCUGCGCACCGCACCUCACAACCUCCGCUGGAACGGCAGUACCAGGCCCCUCCUCCUCGCGAACCUCCCGUACCAUCGCCCGCGUGUUCGCCACCCUCCAUCCGGCCAGCGGUUCACGCAAGAAACAACGAGCUGCUGGAACGCUUGGUGGAGUGCAUCCCGCGGGCACCAGUGUGCAUCCCAGUAAGCUCGCUUUACUUGCUCUUCACAAUCGACGGCGCCACGACUCCAGUGCUCUUCGAGUCGGCGUGGAAUUUUAUCAACUCCGCGAGCGAGACGACGUCAACAGCCGUGGCAGCGCCGAAGAGCUCUGCAAAGGAAAAGAGGGCCGGCCAGCUAGCAUGUGCGCGGCCCUCUCCCAUCGAUGCGACGGCUUUUUCAGCGCUGUCAUGAGAAGCUUCCUUGAAUAUGCAGCGGCGUCGCAAUUAUGUGCAGGAGACUUCACGGACGCUGUCGGAGCUUCUUCUCUGUAUCACCGGAGAGAAUUUGGCGGAUGCGCUGCGGUCCUCCGUCAGCGGCCGCGGCAGCGUGCGAGCGCACGGCAUAUACAUGCCUUUUGAUAACCUGUACGCCACCGUUGCGUCGACGGCCGAAGAAGUCGGGCGCGCGCUUGCGGCGCUGUACGCACCUCUGGCACCUGAAAAGCGCGGGCAGCUCGAGAGCAACCUUGCAAAGGUGAGCUGUGGCGCCGCACGGAGUCCCAGCGACGCCGGGAGUGCCGCGGGCGACGGGGAUGACUUCCGCUACGCAGAUAUGUGCUGCCCGCCGAUGGCGACUCGCCGACUGGCGGACAGCGCCUCGGCACUCCCAAAAGGCCCGCAGAGGUUCGCGGAACCUUACGGGCGUUGGUCUGCGGUCAAGAAGGCCUUCUUCGCGCCAUCCACAAGGGCGUGUCUCGGCGGCCCAGAAACCUACCUGCCUUACUUUGGCGAUGCGUUCGAGCCUCCGCCGCCGCCGGCGUUGCCGGUCGCGGCAACCCGCCGUCACGGAGCUGCCACGUCGUUCAGUCCAUCAGCGCUGGCGGCCAUGCUGUCAACGCACUUCGUGCCAGUGGAGGCGCUGCUGAAGCAGCUGCCACCCGGGUACACGUUCGAGCACGUGCGCCGCGUAUUUGGCGAGACGAUGGCGCUGGGGUUGGUGGAGCUGGAGAACGGGACGUACUUGCGGUUUUAUGGCGGAAAGGACGGCGAAGGCUUCACUCAGAGGGAACGCACUGCGUGUGUUGGCGUUGAUGAGGACGCACAAGCAUCAACGAAUGACGGCAGCAACGGUGGUCGCUUCGACGACGACGAUAGGGAGCCAGCAGCGCCUGGGACCUCCGCUCUGGCGCCACAGAGUGGCGAAGCGGUGCAUCCGUACAUCGCCACCUACGAGCUGGAUCCGUACUUGCUCUACUCGUUUCUGCCGCGCUUCCCUCGGCUGUUUCAAUGGAUCCCCCUGUACGCUGUCGUCGAGCACGCCCCGCCGGCGGUGAAAGCGGCGCUGCUGCCGCUGUGUCAGCGCUCCAACUUGCUUUACUUUGCCCAGCAGCAGCACCGAAUGCAGUCCACGGCGCAGAAGGACGGCGCCGUCUGCCUCAGCUUUCCGCCGGUGCGCUCGCUGCGCGCGGAAACCACACCGCUGCCGCGUGAGUUAGCGGAGGUGCAGCGCCUUCUGCAGACCCGCGGGCUUGUGUACGUGUCGGAGAUGGAGGCCGGGCUCGCGUGUCGAAUCAGCGAUGGCGCAAAAACGAAACAUCAUCGCCUACUUUGGAACGCUGCGACGGUUUUUGUAUCAGCACGAGAGCGUGUUUCAGCUUUCUGUCGUGCCAAGUACCAACGGCCGCUCCGCCGUCAUGAUAGCCGGCACACCACCGGCAGCGCUGCCACGCUCGUCGGCACCGACGCGUGCAGGAGCUGCUACGCAGGAGCACACACAAGAGGUGCCGACGCGCCGCGGCUUUGGGUUUGCAAUUGAAGUGCCGCCGAUAUCCACCUUCGUGGAGGGCGACGCAGUGUCCACGGUGAUGUUGUUCGGCAAGGGCAUCAACGCACUUGACGCGAAUGGAUUUCCUCACUGGUUGGCCUCGGCGGACCUCGCUGUCAUGGGCGAGGGGCAUGCGAUGAUGCAGCAUCGCAGCGGUCUCUCACCCGAGGAACGGCUGCAGAUCACCUCGACGCAGAAGCGCUCGAGCCAGAAGAUCCGUCGUCGCAUGGCUUUGGCCGCUAACCCAAACUCGCCAUACACGGCCCCCGAGGUGUUAUUGGACACCAUUCUGCGGUAUCUGCCGCCCACACGGCACAUCGGACUGCGCAACCUCCUACAGGCGCUGCCACCGGCGAUCACCGACUUUCUCCCUACAGAUCCGAUCCGGCUGCUCCGCAACGCGCCGACAAAGGUGCAGCUGUUCGAGUUUCGUGAGCAGAAUAACAUUCGUGUGAUGCGGCCGGGACUGCCGCUGCCGGACGGACGGCUGCGCAGCACCUACAGCGUCGAUGAGUGGUUGCACGUGCUGGCGACUGAACUGCCGCCAGGGCGGUCGCGCAACUAGAUCGAUCUCGUUGGCCGCCUUCGGUAUGGCGCACGCGAGACGAUACGCUUGCAGCAUCACCACUUGAUCAACGUGGUGGAGCAAUAUCCGCAGUACUUUGUUGUUGUUUACGCACAUGCCGAAUCGGCGAAGAAGUUUGCACGCGUUCAGCUCAUCUAAAGCCCACCACCCGCGACUACACUUUCGGACGACGAAUGGGACGCGAAGAGGACUACGGUUUUGGAUGACAUGUUGCAGGCGGCUGCUCGGGAGGACCACGCCAUCCUUGCGGGAGACGCUAAACCUGAAGCCGAUGCCGUAGCACUCCACCGACGACAGCAAGGCAAGCCACGAAUGGACGGCGCCUGGAGAUGCUGAUGCAAAUGCCGCUGUGCAAACGGCCCUCCUUCUCCGUCACUGUGGCUGUACCGUUGCUUGUGGCUGUGAUGGUGGGGAGGCUGCAGUGGCUCUUUUCGCCUCUGUGUUGGUCUCUCCUAGGGACGACGUCUACGUAGGCGUAGGAGCGAAGACAACAGGCUCCAGCCACGGAGUAAGAUUGAUGAGAAGCGAUGUGCACGUGUGCGUGCCUGAGUACCCACUUCGCAGUCUGCUCUUUGCCUCCUCCGCAUCCACUCCCGUGCCUCGCCAAGGGGGGGGAGGCGGCAAGAGCUUGGAUGAUAUUGGUUAGGACGCUGCGACCUCCUCCUGUUUUGCGGCCAUGGUGUGCCCCUCCUC
rnacentral:misc_RNA from 1 species